GUGGGGAAUUUUGGACAAUGGGCGCAAGCCUGAUCCAGCAAUGCCGCGUGCAGGAAGAAGGCCUUCGGGUUGUAAACUGCUUUUGUACGGAACGAAACGGUCCGGGUUAAUACCCUGGGCUAAUGACGGUACCGUAAGAAUAAGCACCGGCUAACUACGUGCCAGCAGCCGCGGUAAUACGUAGGGUGCAAGCGUUAAUCGGAAUUACUGGGCGUAAAGCGUGCGCAGGCGGUUUUGUAAGACAGGCGUGAAAUCCCCGGGCUCAACCUGGGAAGUGGGCUUGUGACUGCAAGGCUGGAGUGCGGCAGAGGGGGAUGGAAUUCCGCGUGUAGCAGUGAAAUGCGUAGAUAUGCGGAGGAACACCGAUGGCGAAGGCAAUCCCCUGGGCCUGCACUGACGCUCAUGCACGAAAGCGUGGGGAGCAAACAGGAUUAGAUACCCUUGUAGUCC
rnacentral:rRNA from 1 species